GGAUAACUUACCCUUUAGGACUGGGAUAACUCUGGGAAACUGGGGAUAAUACUGGAUAUUAGGCUAUGCCUGGAAUGGUUUGCCUUUGAAAUGUUUUUUUCGCCUAAGGAUAGAUCUGCGGCUGAUUAGGUCGUUGGUGGGGUAAUGGCCCACCAAGCCGAUGAUCGGUACGGGUUGUGAGAGCAAGAGCCCGGAGAUGGAACCUGAGACAAGGUUCCAGACCCUACGGGGUGCAGCAGGCGCGAAACCUCCGCAGUGUACGAAAGUGCGACGGGGGGAUCCCAAGUGUCAUGCUUUUUUGUAUGACUUUUCAUUAGUGUAAAAAGCUUUUAGAAUAAGAGCUGGGCAAGACCGGUGCCAGCCGCCGCGGUAACACCGGCAGCUCGAGUGGUAGCUGUUUUUAUUGGGCCUAAAGCGUUCGUAGCCGGUUUGAUAAGUCUUUGGUGAAAGCUUGUAGCUUAACUAUAAGAAUUGCUGGAGAUACUAUUAGACUUGAAGUCGGGAGAGGUUAGAGGUACUACCGGGGUAGGGGUGAAAUCCUAUAAUCCUGGGAGGACCACCUGUGGCGAAGGCGUCUAACUGGAACGAUCUUGACGGUGAGUAACGAAAGCCAGGGGCGCGAACCGGAUUAGAUACCCGGGUAGUCCUGGCCGUAAACGAUGUGGACUUGGUGUUGGAAUGGCUUUGAGUUGUUCCGGUGCCGAAGGGAAGCUGUUAAGUCCACCGCCUGGGAAGUACGGUCGCAAGACUGAAACUUAA
rnacentral:rRNA from 1 species